UACGUAGGGUGCAAGCGUUAAUCGGAAUUACUGGGCGUAAAGCGUGCGCAGGCGGUUAUGCAAGACAGAUGUGAAAUCCCCGGGCUCAACCUGGGAACUGCAUUUGUGACUGCAUAGCUAGAGUACGGUAGAGGGGGAUGGAAUUCCGCGUGUAGCAGUGAAAUGCGUAGAUAUGCGGAGGAACACCGAUGGCGAAGGCGCUCUACUGGGCCAUUACUGACGCUGAUGGACGAAAGCUAGGGGAGCGAAAGGG
rnacentral:rRNA from 1 species